rnacentral:rRNA from 1 species
AACGAACGCUGGCGGCAGGCUUAACACAUGCAAGUCGAGCGAGACCUUCGGGUCUAGCGGCGGACGGGUGAGUAACGCGUGGGAACGUGCCCUUCUCUACGGAAUAGCCCCGGGAAACUGGGAGUAAUACCGUAUACGCCCUUCGGGGGAAAGAUUUAUCGGAGAAGGAUCGGCCCGCGUUGGAUUAGGUAGUUGGUGGGGUAAUGGCCCACCAAGCCGACGAUCCAUAGCUGGUUUGAGAGGAUGAUCAGCCACACUGGGACUGAGACACGGCCCAGACUCCUGCGGGAGGCAGCAGUGGGGAAUCUUAGACAAUGGGGGCAACCCUGAUCUAGCCAUGCCGCGUGAGUGAUGAAGGCCUUAGGGUUGUAAAGCUCUUUCAGCUGGGAAGAUAAUGACGGUACCAGCAGAAGAAGCCCCGGCUAACUCCGUG